UCACUAGUUGCAUAACUUGCACAUGUGU
rnacentral:sRNA from 1 species